GAUGAACGCUGACAGAAUGCUUAACACAUGCAAGUCAACUUGAACUUCGGUUUGGGUGGCGGACGGGUGAGUAACGCGUAAAGAACUUGCCUCACAGUUAGGGACAACAUUUGGAAACGAAUGCUAAUACCUGAUAUUAUGAUUUUAGGGCAUCCUAGAAUUAUGAAAGCUAUAUGCGCUGUGAGAGAGCUUUGCGUCCCAUUAGCUAGUUGGAGAGGUAACGGCUCACCAAGGCGAUGAUGGGUAGCCGGCCUGAGAGGGUGAACGGCCACAAGGGGACUGAGACACGGCCCUUACUCCUACGGGAGGCAGCAGUGGGGAAUAUUGGACAAUGGACCAAGAGUCUGAUCCAGCAAUUCUGUGUGCACGAUGAAGUUUUUCGGAAUGUAAAGUGCUUUCAGUUGGGAAGAAAAAAAUGACGGUACCAACAGAAGAAGUGACGGCUAAAUACGUG
rnacentral:rRNA from 1 species